AGACGAUGUCCAAUGGCGACGCUCGUCUGAUGGCGACCGCGUUUUCAAUUUUUUAGAACCUUUUGCAGGACGUGAUGAGGGAUCUCAGAAUAGCAAGCUAGAUGUUUGGGGACAAUUACAUUAUCCUGUUGGCUUCCCCAAUAUAACUUAUGGGCUAUCAAGAAUUAUUCCGAAGGACUACAAGAAAUUUUUGCAAGACCUGAGCCUGCUGAUGCUGUUGCAGGGGAAUUCAUGACAUGAUUGUGGCUGGUUUUGAAUUUGUUGCCACAUUUAAAGCUACUUAUGAAAUAUUUUUUAAAGGAAAUACUAACCUUUCCAUCAUCAAAUUAUUACAGAAAUUUGAAGCUGUUGCAUGUCUUUAAUAACCAUCUCCUGUAUAUAUGGAGAUGUAUAUGAGUGUUAUGUUGACCUUAAAGAUACAAGAAAGGUAUAAGAAAGGUCAUUGUAAAUUUUCAGCUUGGACACUGGCCUGUAUGUCUUAGAAACUUCAUAGUUAGACUAGUAGGAAGUGAGGCACAACAGAGAAAAAUUAAUUUGCGAUAGGUCUCAGAUGUAGCCCAGCAAGAGGAAAUUUGAUCUGUUUCUAACACAGCCUAAGCAAUAUUCUAUAGAAGUUUAUCCAGUGUAGAUUAGUUGGCAAACCUUUUAACUGACUGAUGUUACAUCAUUAAGGAUUUUGAUUGUCUUUUCCUAAUAUAAGAAAUUUGGCUGUCUUUGUUAAAUGGUUAAUUAAACACAGUAUACAAGAGUGCAUAUUUUUUUUCUUUUUAAAGGUUUAUCACUAGUAACAAUGCUCCUUUGCUUAUGGCAAAUAUUGGUGACCAUGUAUAUAAAUGUUCAGUUGCUGAGAAUGCUUAGAAAUCCACCUUUUUGUCUGCUUUGUCUGCUUGAGUUUGUUUCUUAUGUUCUUCACUGAAGGCUUGCUGCAUUUUUUUGUUUUCCUUUUAUUUUGCUCUGGACUUAGUUUUCACUUAUUUUUAGCUAUUACACCCUCUCUGCUGUCAGUUUAUAUCCUCUGUGUAUUUUCUCCUGCUUGAUUAGUGAGCUCAAUUGUUUUUCUACCAAUAUAUUAACUCAUUGUGUCCAGUCAGGAAUAAAAAAUUUGGUCUGUUAGAUAUAUUUUUUUCCUUUUCCUUACAAAGGAACUAAUAAUGUCUUAGUUUCAUAUUUGUUUAUCACAGCAUGAUGAAAUGUUACACAGCAUUAUUUAAAAAUUGUUUUCUUCUGAAUCAAGCUUCACAUGACUGGAAACAGAAGCUCCCAACUGUCUGAAACCUAUUGUAUGGUUUUAUGUAUGUAAUAUCCAAGUAGUACUUGAAUUUUACAUGAUUUCGUUGCAGGGCAUAGAGGAUAGAUUUAUGCAAGCAGCUCUUUUGUUAAUGUUGCAAAGGAAAUUUACUGUCUACAUGCUGACUGGCUUACAAAUUGAAAAAAGGGUAGAUUUGGCAAAGAAUAAUUGAUACCGUAUAUUGUAUUGACACUGUCAUUAGUAAGCCAGGUUGUGAGUAUUGUCGUUUUCUCUUGUGUAUUCUAUUUGGAAAAAAUUUUGACCGGAAAUUCUUAACAAUAUGUUGUUGAGAUGAAUAUGUAUAUUUUUCUCUCAUUUCUUUUGAUUUUGAAGACAAUACAAAUCUGUUGACUUUAUUUUUGCAGAAAAGUAUAGAUGGUAAAGAAUGAAUGAAGAUUGUAGGAGAACUGAAAAGAACUUAAUUUUUUUUUAUAGAUUUUAGAUUUUUUGAAGUUUGUAGCGUGUUAAUCUUGAAUAUUAACUGAGACAGAGAUUUUAAGUAACUGUAUUCAAGAUUUUUUGAAGAGUGAAGUCAUAGUAUAUAGAUUUGUUUAACAGUAACAAUUUUCCUUCUCUUUCAUAAAUGUCCCUAAACAAAGGAGACAUUCAUUUUCUUUAUAAAUGAUAGUCAAAAAGCAACAACAACAACAACAAAAAGAUACUAUUUUUUUCCCAUGUAAAACCUCAAUUACAUUUUAUUCAUAUGGUGGACCGGCUGAGGUCUGUGGAUCUUUGAAGGAACAGAGGAUGGAAUAAGCAUGAUACAACACACCUUGGAAAAAAAGUAAGCUAAAUGUUUACAAAUAUUUCUUCAUCCUAGGAGUUUUAUUUCUUGAACCCUAAGACUCUUAUAAUAACUAAUCUAUAC